AGCGAACGCUGGCGGCAGGCUUAACACAUGCAAGUCGAACGCCCCGCAAGGGGAGUGGCAGACGGGUGAGUAACACGUGGGAACGUACCCUUUGGUUCGGAAUAACUCAGGGAAACUUGAGCUAAUACCGGAUAAGCCCUUAUGGGGAAAGAUUUAUCGCCGAAGGAUCGGCCCGCGUCCGAUUAGCUAGUUGGUGAGGUAAUGGCUCACCAAGGCGACGAUCGGUAGCUGGUCUGAGAGGAUGAUCAGCCACACUGGGACUGAGACACGGCCCAGACUCCUACGGGAGGCAGCAGUAGGGAAUAUUGGGCAAUGGGCGAAAGCCUGACCCAGCCAUGCCGCGUGAAGGAAGACGGCCUUAUGGGUUGUAAACUUCUUUACUACGCGAAUAGAGGUUAGUACGAGAUACUAAUAGGAAGGUAGUGUAGUAAAAAGCACCGGCUAACUCCGUG
rnacentral:rRNA from 1 species